rnacentral:rRNA from 1 species
GAUGAACGCUCGCUACAGGCUUAACACAUGCAAGUCGAGGGGCAGCAUGGUCUUAGCUUGCUAAGGCCGAUGGCGACCGGCGCACGGGUGAGUAACACGUAUCCAACCUGCCGUCUACUCUUGGACAGCCUUCUGAAAGGAAGAUUAAUACAAGAUGGCAUCAUGAGUCCGCAUGUUCACAUGAUUAAAGGUAUUCCGGUAGACGAUGGGGAUGCGUUCCAUUAGAUAGUAGGCGGGGUAACGGCCGACCUAGUCUUCGAUGGAUAGGGGUUCUGAGAGGAAGGUCCCCCACAUGGGAACUGGGACACGGUCCAAACUCCUACGGGAGGCAGCAGUGAGGAAUAUUGGUCAAUGGGCGCAGGCAUGAACCAGCCAAGUAGCGUGAAGGAUGACUGCCCUAUGGGUUGUAAACUUCUUUUAUAAAGGAAUAAAGUCGGGUAUGUAUACCCGUUUGCAUGUACUUUAUGAAUAAGGAUCGGCUAACUCCGUG